AGGGCAGUAGCUCAAUCGGUAGAGUAGCGGUCUCCAAAACCGUUGGUUGCGAGUUCGAGUCUCGCCUGCCCUGCCA
rnacentral:tRNA from 1 species